rnacentral:rRNA from 1 species
CCUACGGGAGGCAGCAGUGAGGAAUAUUGGUCAAUGGCCGCAAGGCUGAACCAGCCAAGUCGCGUGAAGGAUGAAGGCCCUAUGGUUUGUAAACUUCUUUUAUAGGGGAAUAAAGGUAUUCACGUGUGGCUUUUUGCAUGUACCCUAUGAAUAAGGAUCGGCUAAUUCCGUGCCAGCAGCCGCGGUAAUACGGAGGAUGCGGGCGUUAUCCGGAUUUAUUGGGUUUAAAGGGAGCGGAGGUUGUUGUUUAAGUUCGUGGUGAAAGUUUGUGGCUCAACCGUAAAAUUGCCGUUGAAACUGGAAGACUUGAGUGUGUUUGAGGUAGGCGGAAUGCGUGGUGUAGCGGUGAAAUGCUUAGAUAUCACGCAGAACUCCGAUUGCGAAGGCAGCUUACU